rnacentral:rRNA from 1 species
UGCAAGUCGAGCGGUAGAGAGAAGCUUGCUUCUCUUGAGAGCGGCGGACGGGUGAGUAAUGCCUAGGAAUCUGCCUAGUGGUGGGGGAUAACGUUCGGAAACGGACGCUAAUACCGCAUACGUCCUACGGGAGAAAGCGGGGGAUCUUCGGACCUCGCGCCAUUAGAUGAGCCUAGGUCGGAUUAGCUAGUUGGUGAGGUAAUGGCUCACCAAGGCGACGAUCCGUAACUGGUCUGAGAGGAUGAUCAGUCACACUGGAGCUGAGACACGGUCCAGACUCCUACGGGAGGCAGCAGUGGGGAAUAUUGGACAAUGGGCGAAAGCCUGAUCCAGCCAUGCCGCGUGUGUGAAGAAGGUCUUCGGAUUGUAAAGCACUUUAAGUUGGGAGGAAGGGCAGUAACCUAAUACGUUAUUGUUUUGACGUUACCGACAGAAUAAGCACCGGCUAACUUCGUGCCAGCAGCCGCGGUAAUACGAAGGGUGCAAGCGUUAAUCGGAAUUACUGGGCGUAAAGCGCGCGUAGGUGGUUCAGUAAGUUGGAAGUGAAAUCCCCGGGCUCAACCUGGGAACUGCUUUCAAAACUGCUGAGCUAGAGUACGGUAGAGGGUGGUGGAAUUUCCUGUGUAGCGGUGAAAUGCGUAGAUAUAGGAAGGAACACCAGUGGCGGAGGCGACCACCUGGACUGAUACUGACACUGAGGUGCGAAAGCGUGGGGAGCAAACAGGAUUAGAUACCCUG